UUUGUGAGCGUAUGUCUUAAUUCGGUACUAUAUAUGUUAGUUCCUGAAAAUGCCGAUAACUUAUAAAAGAUCAUAAAACCUUUACAGAUGAGUAACCGUGGUUGCUAGGGCUAUAUGAACAAUGAUGAAUAUGAACACAGCACAAGGAAUUAAAAAACACACAUGUGAAAUUCAAAUAUCAUUAUAAGUAAAAAUCUACUGGUACAUUAUUCGGCUAUCAACCAUUAUACCUAUGUGUAUAAGACAAAUUGUAGUUGUCUUUCUUCGCACACAUAAUUAUAAUAAAUAAUUGUAAGCCUUUCAAUAUACAAAGAUAAUCAUUUUCUAAUAAUCAGUGUUU
rnacentral:lncRNA from 1 species